GACGAACGCUGGCGGCGUGCUUAACACAUGCAAGUCGAACGGAAAGGCCCUGCUUUUGUGGGUUGCUCGAGUGGCGAACGGGUGAGUAACACUUGAGUAACCUGCCCCUGACUGUGGGAUAACUUCAGGAAACUGGGGCUCUUACCGGAUAGGAUCUCCUGCUGCAUGGUGUGCGUUGGUAAGUUUCGGCGGUUGGGGAUGGACUCGCGGCUUAUGCGCUUGUUUGUGGGGUAGUGGCUUACCAAGGCUGUGAAGGGUAGCCGGCCUGAGAGGGGGACCGGACACAUUGGGACUGAGAUACGGCGCAGACUGCUAUGGGAGGCAGCAGUGGGGAAUAUUGCACAAUGGGCGGAAGCCUGAUGUAGCAACGCUGCGUGCGGGAUGACGGCCUUCGGGUUGUAAACCGAUGUCGCCUGUGCCGAGGCGUGAGUGACGGUAAUGGGUAAAGAAGCACCGGCUAACUACGUG
rnacentral:rRNA from 1 species